AUUUCUUCAAAUGUUAUUUGGUGUUAUUUAUAAACGAUCAUAGUACGUUUUAUUUUUAUAUUUGCUUUUAUUUUGUUUGAGUUUUCAUUGCAUUUAUUUCAUUUUUGUUUUUAAUCUUUUCAGCCUUAUUAUUUUUAUAUCCGUUUUAGUUUUUCAACUUAUAGACUACUUAUUUCAGUUAUCUGCCAGGUAAAUGUGCUGGAGUAUGAUACAGACGAUGUUGGAAAGUGUCACCUUAACACCUGGACUACAAUAGGUUUUUAUCGGUCUAAUGAGGUUAAAGAUCAUCAGACAAAGGGGCUGCUGAUGUUGAAUCGUGUGUGAAUCAAAUAUAAUAUCGUGGUAUGUCUUACAAGUGACUUCCAGGGAAGAAAGAAAUGUCAGACGUCUGUGGGUCUAAUGGGAAAACUGAAUGUGGUUGAACCAGGUUUGCUAGUUUUUCCUUUCUUUUUUCCACAUGCAUAGCCUACAUCACAUCUAUCACAACGUAAUGACAUAUAUUUUCUUCAGAAAUCCUUCUAGAAAAAAAAAAAAAAAAAAAGGCGAGCGCUGUGAUUUAGUUGAAGGUUUCAAAAUGCACCUACUUUUGGUCCAAGACGUCAGGCUGAAACUGAUAACGCUCUGUUCUGAAACAAAUUAAUAAUAAUAAUAAAAGGUAACUGUUAUUUGGGGAUAUUUGUUCACAGCGCCACCUAGUGCAGUAUAAUGAUUAAAGCAUGACGAAUAGUCAUACCAGAUAAUGUCUAAUAUGGCGAGAAGUUUCACUCUCACUAUACUUCCGGCUUCUAAACUGGUUGCAGUUCCACGCUGAUUCCACAUGAGGGCGCUCACAGGACGAAUGCAGAAUGAAUGGAGGUCAAUGGCGGUAUUCCACUUAAAAUCCACUUUCUCAAGAAAUAAUUUUUUGUCUAGUAAUUUGAACGUUGUAUUCUAAAGGAUAUGCAAAGAAAUUACACAUUGCUGGGUGUUCGAUUUUUUAGAAUCACUUAUUGGCUUUAAAAAGUCUUUUAAAUGUCAAUGACGUCAUACACAUUCACAUUCAUUAGCAGAAUGCUAGCGUGUUAUGGGCAACAACAACUCAACCUGUAAGAAAUCGAAAGGACAUAAGUACUCGUUCAUUCAACUUUCGACCUAUAACCCAUGUUGAACUUGCAAAACCUACAAUCAGAUCUGAGAUUUCUCAACGGCAAUCGGUUGAAAAUGACAAAUUUAGCCGUCUAGCCCCAUAGACUCCCAUUCAUUUUGCCCUCAUGGCGAUCGCCCCCAGUGGAACUCUGGUGGUACUGCAACUAAAAUUCGGUACAAUAGGAGUGGGAAGGCUCUCCGUAGACAGGCUCUGGUCAUACUGUCACAUGAUACAUUUCCAUGCUCUUUGCAACAACCUUGGCUUGUGCUCAUUUGUUAAACGGACACAAAUGCAAACAUAACCAAAAAAAGAACGGUUCACAAAUAGUCAUUCGAUUCAGUUAUUUGAGCGAUAAUAGAGCGACUGUUUCACUUUUAUGGGAAUCUUCAAAGUUCAUUUUAAGGCAUAAAAGUUAUUUUUAUUUACUGGUUCUUUAAAAUUAUGAUGCAUUUGUUGGUUAAAAGAAAAAAAGAUUCCACUGAGCUAAAGAAAAAUUAUUAAUAAUAAUAAUAAUUAAUUCAAUUUGCAAGACUUAGAAUAUGCAACAAACAUUAUUUUAUUAUAGUACCAAGUCAAAGACCGUUUAUCAGUUAAUUCAUUCAUAAUUAUAGUGUUGGUCCAAUUUUUACUUUCUAAACUUUAAACAUUAAUUAUUCUUGAAGGUUCAAUCAAUGUAUUACCAUCAUAUAAAUGUACAUUUGGAAACAUUCAUUAUUAAUUAAUACAAACAUAACAGAUUUUAAUGAUUAAAUAUUGAGUAACACUACUUUUAAUGUGAUACAAGGGGAUAAUAAGUGAUGAAAGUGUGACAACUGCCCCAUAACAAACGAAUUUAAAUA